rnacentral:rRNA from 1 species
CCUACGGGUGGCAGCAGUGAGGAAUAUUGGUCAAUGGGCGUAAGCCUGAACCAGCCAAGUCGCGUGAGGGAUGAAGGUUCUAUGGAUCGUAAACCUCUUUUAUAAGGGAAUAAAGUGUGGGACGUGUCCUGUUUUGUAUGUACCUUAUGAAUAAGGAUCGGCUAACUCCGUGCCAGCAGCCGCGGUAAUACGGAGGAUCCGAGCGUUAUCCGGAUUUAUUGGGUUUAAAGGGUGCGUAGGCGGCCUUUUAAGUUAGCGGUGAAAGUCUGUGGCUCAACUAUGGAAUUGCCGUUGAAACUGGGAGGCUUGAGUGUGUUUGAGGCAGGCGGAAUGCGUGGUGUAGCGGUGAAAUGCUUAGAUAUCACGCAGAACCCCGAUUGCGAAGGCAGCCUGCCAAGCCAUGACUGACGCUGAUGCACGAAAGCGUGGGGAUCAAACAGGAUUAGAUACCCGGGUAGUC